AGCGUACACGGUGGAUGCCCUGGCAGUCAGAGGCGAUGAAGGACGUGCUAAUCUGCGAUAAGCGUCGGUAAGGUGAUAUGAACCGUUAUAACCGGCGAUUUCCGAAUGGGGAAACCCAGUGUGUUUCGACACACUAUCAUUAACUGAAUCCAUAGGUUAAUGAGGCGAACCGGGGGAACUGAAACAUCUAAGUACCCCGAGGAAAAGAAAUCAACCGAGAUUCCCCCAGUAGCGGCGAGCGAACGGGGAGGAGCCCAGAGCCUGAAUCAGUGUGUGUGUUAGUGGAAGCGUCUGGAAAGGCGCGCGAUACAGGGUGACAGCCCCGUACACAAAAAUGCACAUACUGUGAGCUCGAUGAGUAGGGCGGGACACGUGGUAUCCUGUCUGAAUAUGGGGGGACCAUCCUCCAAGGCUAAAUACUCCUGACUGACCGAUAGUGAACCAGUACCGUGAGGGAAAGGCGAAAAGAACCCCGGCGAGGGGAGUGAAAAAGAACCUGAAACCGUGUACGUACAAGCAGUGGGAGCCUCUUAAUGGGGUGACUGCGUACCUUUUGUAUAAUGGGUCAGCGACUUAUAUUCUGUAGCAAGGUUAACCGAAUAGGGGAGCCGAAGGGAAACCGAGUCUUAACUGGGCGUUAAGUUGCAGGGUAUAGACCCGAAACCCGGUGAUCUAGCCAUGGGCAGGUUGAAGGUUGGGUAACACUAACUGGAGGACCGAACCGACUAAUGUUGAAAAAUUAGCGGAUGACUUGUGGCUGGGGGUGAAAGGCCAAUCAAACCGGGAGAUAGCUGGUUCUCCCCGAAAGCUAUUUAGGUAGCGCCUCGUGAAUUCAUCUCCGGGGGUAGAGCACUGUUUCGGCAAGGGGGUCAUCCCGACUUACCAACCCGAUGCAAACUGCGAAUACCGGAGAAUGUUAUCACGGGAGACACACGGCGGGUGCUAACGUCCGUCGUGAAGAGGGAAACAACCCAGACCGCCAGCUAAGGUCCCAAAGUCAUGGUUAAGUGGGAAACGAUGUGGGAAGGCCCAGACAGCCAGGAUGUUGGCUUAGAAGCAGCCAUCAUUUAAAGAAAGCGUAAUAGCUCACUGGUCGAGUCGGCCUGCGCGGAAGAUGUAACGGGGCUAAACCAUGCACCGAAGCUGCGGCAGCGACACUAUGUGUUGUUGGGUAGGGGAGCGUUCUGUAAGCCUGCGAAGGUGUACUGUGAGGUAUGCUGGAGGUAUCAGAAGUGCGAAUGCUGACAUAAGUAACGAUAAAGCGGGUGAAAAGCCCGCUCGCCGGAAGACCAAGGGUUCCUGUCCAACGUUAAUCGGGGCAGGGUGAGUCGACCCCUAAGGCGAGGCCGAAAGGCGUAGUCGAUGGGAAACAGGUUAAUAUUCCUGUACUUGGUGUUACUGCGAAGGGGGGACGGAGAAGGCUAUGUUGGCCGGGCGACGGUUGUCCCGGUUUAAGCGUGUAGGCUGAUUUUCCAGGCAAAUCCGGAAAAUCAAGGCUGAGGCGUGAUGACGAGGCACUACGGUGCUGAAGCAACAAAUGCCCUGCUUCCAGGAAAAGCCUCUAAGCAUCAGGUAACAUCAAAUCGUACCCCAAACCGACACAGGUGGUCAGGUAGAGAAUACCAAGGCGCUUGAGAGAACUCGGGUGAAGGAACUAGGCAAAAUGGUGCCGUAACUUCGGGAGAAGGCACGCUGAUAUGUAGGUGAAGUCCCUCGCGGAUGGAGCUGAAAUCAGUCGAAGAUACCAGCUGGCUGCAACUGUUUAUUAAAAACACAGCACUGUGCAAACACGAAAGUGGACGUAUACGGUGUGACGCCUGCCCGGUGCCGGAAGGUUAAUUGAUGGGGUUAGCGGUAACGCGAAGCUCUUGAUCGAAGCCCCGGUAAACGGCGGCCGUAACUAUAACGGUCCUAAGGUAGCGAAAUUCCUUGUCGGGUAAGUUCCGACCUGCACGAAUGGCGUAAUGAUGGCCAGGCUGUCUCCACCCGAGACUCAGUGAAAUUGAACUCGCUGUGAAGAUGCAGUGUACCCGCGGCAAGACGGAAAGACCCCGUGAACCUUUACUAUAGCUUGACACUGAACAUUGAGCCUUGAUGUGUAGGAUAGGUGGGAGGCUUUGAAGUGUGGACGCCAGUCUGCAUGGAGCCGGCCUUGAAAUACCACCCUUUAAUGUUUGAUGUUCUAACGUUGGCCCCUGAUCGGGGUUGCGGACAGUGUCUGGUGGGUAGUUUGACUGGGGCGGUCUCCUCCUAAAGAGUAACGGAGGAGCACGAAGGUUGGCUAAUCCUGGUCGGACAUCAGGAGGUUAGUGCAAUGGCAUAAGCCAGCUUGACUGCGAGCGUGACGGCGCGAGCAGGUGCGAAAGCAGGUCAUAGUGAUCCGGUGGUUCUGAAUGGAAGGGCCAUCGCUCAACGGAUAAAAGGUACUCCGGGGAUAACAGGCUGAUACCGCCCAAGAGUUCAUAUCGACGGCGGUGUUUGGCACCUCGAUGUCGGCUCAUCACAUCCUGGGGCUGAAGUAGGUCCCAAGGGUAUGGCUGUUCGCCAUUUAAAGUGGUACGCGAGCUGGGUUUAGAACGUCGUGAGACAGUUCGGUCCCUAUCUGCCGUGGGCGCUGGAGAACUGAGGGGGGCUGCUCCUAGUACGAGAGGACCGGAGUGGACGCAUCACUGGUGUUCGGGUUGUCAUGCCAAUGGCACUGCCCGGUAGCUAAAUGCGGAAGAGAUAAGUGCUGAAAGCAUCUAAGCACGAAACUUGCCCCGAGAUGAGUUCU
rnacentral:rRNA from 1 species